UCGUGCACAUGGGCCAGGCCCAAUGAAACCUGCGGUACACUGCUGGCUCUCGAUUCCCUUUGAUUUGUUCCCGAGCGCCGCCCUCCCUCCUCACCCGAUCUCCCAUCGCCGUCGUCACCCAAGAUCACCACGCCUCCGCCUGGUCCGCCGACCGCCAGGCCCCCUCUCACGUACGACCUCGCGGCGUCGCAGACCGCUCCAUCUCCCUUACCGCACCGCCAAGCAUACCUGGAAUUAGCUGAUGCGGCCUUCUUCAUUCAUGUAUGGGGGGAUCCCCCUUGAUCCCGGUGGCAUGGCCAGAGACGAAGGAAACCCUCAGUCUCGCCCGCGUCGCUGCCCGACUUGGGGGCCAGAUCGUCGGUUGCGGGACUUAGGACGGGCGAUGACAUCUUCACCGUCGGGAUCUCGCCCGCCUGUUGAAUGUUGAUGUCCCGGCUUCACGUGAUCGGCAGAGCUGUCCGGGUUCACCACGGGCCGUGAAAGUCAAUCGGCGCCUUUGUGCGUGCAGGGCUCAUCAUGAGCGCAGAUGUAUAAGUGCCAAUGGCAUCAAGUUCCCUCAGGCUCCAUCUCUCCUACUAGGUAAGAGCAUGUGCGAUAGAGGCUCCGGAGGUCCUCUUCAUGUCCAGUGAUUCUUCGACAAGGAUGGCACGCCACGGGGCUGCACCGGAUCCCCGGCAGAGGCUCUGGAGCUCCUCUGCAUGUCUAGGAACAUCUCGCUCUACUUCACCACCGCUGGUCACAGCACGCGUUCCAAGUGAAUGGCAAAUGCCAGAGUUUCUGUACAUGUAAUUUUGUAUUACCAUUGAAUUGGUAGAAGCAACUUACAUGUGAUUUUUUUAUAUGAUCAGGUAGCUGGUUCGAAAGGUGUAUACAUGUGCAAAUCCAAUUUUCUGUUUCAAAUCAAUUAUUAACACUCUGAUAAUGGAAGAUUGGAACUAUGCAAAUCCAAAGAAAGAUUUGUGCAAAUCCAAUGAAAUAUUGUUUAUCUUCUCGCUCAUGAGGUUACACUCUGAUAAUGGAAGAUUGGGUUUGUGCGAAUCCAAUAUCUUUUUGUUUGAAAGCAAUUAUUAACAGUGAUUAAUUCCACAAUAUUUGUACGAACAAUUAUAUUUUUGUCAGAAUCCGGUUUCUGGUAAUUCUUAACACUACAUGUUAAUAUGUCACAUCUUCCAUUAAUUCUCAUGUUUGUAGGAGCCAUGGUUGUAUAAUAUGUACUGUACCAUUCACAGGUAGCCGAAGAAUAAGAUUGGAAGUGUAUCUUGUCAAAUUGUGUUUUAAAGCAUUUGAGGACUACAAUGGUGGCCCUGUUCAAUUUCUUCAUAAUUUUUUGUAUUGGUGACAAAGAUGGAAUUUCCCUUGAACUGAAUUCUCAUCUGAACUUGUGCCAAUGAAAUGAGGGUUUUAAUAUUUUUAAUAGAGCAAUUGAGCAAUGGUAAGAGAAGGGAAGGUGAUAGGAAGGGAAAAGGCAGGAUGAGCGAUCUGCAAGCACCAAGGAGAAGGGAAGGCGAUAGGAAAGGAAAAUGCAGGAUGAGCUUUUUUGCAUUAGCUCGUAUUUCCAUUCCUUAUAAAAUUGAUGCAUCAAAGAAAUCUUGAAGAUCGGUUUACUCGAUGAGAUUCCCAAGUCUUUGGAAUAAUUAGAAAUUUCUUGGCAGAUCUCGUUUAUUUUUCCCCGAGAUUUUGCAGCCAUUUUCAUGUUUAGUGAGUCUGUUCUUAACUUCUUACUUUUCUUUUUCUGGUAGUUUUCACAUAGAGCAUAAUAAUCUUGAAACCAACCG